rnacentral:rRNA from 1 species
AUACGUAGGUGACAAGCGUUAUCCGGAUUUACUGGGCGUAAAGGGCGUGUAGGCGGUCUUGCAAGUCAGAAGUGAAAUUCCUGAGCUCAACUCGGGCGCUGCUUCUGAAACUGCCGGACUUGAGUGCUGGAGGGGAUAGCGGAAUUCCUAGUGGAGCGGGAAAAUGCGCAGAUAUUAGGAGGAACACCGGUGGCGAAGGCGGCUUACUGGACUGUAACUGACGUUGAGGCUCGAAAGCGUGGGGAGCAAACAGGAUUAGAUACCCUGGUAGUCCACGCCGUAAACGGUGAAUACUAGGUGUGGGGGGACUGACCCCCUCCGUGCCGCAGUUAACACAAUAAGUAUUCCACCUGGGGAGUACGAUCGCAAGAUUGAAACUCAAAUGAAUUGACGGGG